GCCAGAGAUCUACAGACGCUUCCAGGCUCCUCUGUGCUUCACUGACACUUGUACCAGAGUGGCAGAAACUAAACAGAGGUGAAUGGCUGAGGACACAACAAAAUUCACGUGACUCUACACUGCUCACUACUAAAGGAACAGCCUAAAGCCUACAAUCAAGAGUCUGCUGCCAGCACAGGAGGACAGACUGAUGCACAUUAUGGAUCUCACUAACAACAGAGGUCUCAACCUGCUACUCAAUUUCCUGCUUAUUGUCUUGGUUCUGGUGCUCGCAUUUAUUCUUGUGAAGCUGAUGUGAACAUCUAAGGCUCUGCUACCUUCUCAAAUAUUGUUUCUUGUGGUUUUGGAAUCACAGAAUGGGGGGUUGCAAGGGACCUCAGAAUAUCAUCUACUUCAAACCCCCUGCAACACACAGUAAUAGAACCACUUCAAACUAUGGGAAUAUGCAAAGACUGCAGAGCUGGAAUCACAGAAUUUACCACAUUGGAAAAGACCUUUGAGAUGAUUGAGUUCAACCUAGCACCAACAACAUCUUCUAACUAAACCAUGGCACAAAGUGCCUCAGCCAGUCUCCUUUUAAGCACCUCCAGGGACCGAGACUGUUUCUCUGUUUAGACGACCACCACUGCACAACACACAACUCAGCCACAGGGAGACCACUUCCAGAAGGCACAAGAGAUCUGGAUACUUGGCAUUUAGUGGUCACAUCUAUGUUAUCAGAGCUCAGUGAUACAAACUGAGCACAAUUGGUUGCUCACCAUUGAGGGAAGAGCCUCGCCAAGUCUGGGAAGAAACACAAGCACUGCAGUUUUCUCACUGAUACAGCCGACUUGUAUUGAAAGAGCACAGAAAGACUGCAGCCUUCGAGGAGCACUAUUUCUGCUGAAGGGGAUAGCAGAAUGCAGAUUUUCAAAAUGAGAUUCCCACAGCACAUGUACUUCAUGGACAAUGACAGGAACACAGCAGGAAGGCAGAACAAAACACCUACACUGGGUGCAGAGCAUGCAUCAGAUUACCCCUGGAAAGCCAAGCCACCGAUGCUGUAGGCAGAAACAAGGAUAUCCAUGAGAAGGAGCUUGCAGCAGCUAAGAUGCAGACAAGUCUCAAUAUGAACACUUAAUUAUUGCUUACAGUUUUUGACCACCUGUGGUUCACACCAACAUCUCAAAAGCCAUCAGUGUUAUCCAGCAGUAGCAAAAGAAGCUGCGAUAAGAGCUGAAAAACAGCCAACCGCUGCCAAGAGCUACUGCACCUCUGCCUAGGCAGUCCUUACCACCAACACAUCCAGAAACAGGAGGUGCCUCUGCACCAAGACAAGCAGUGUGCUGCAGCCUCAGUAAGGCUCUGCCACUUAUGCACAGGUCAAGUGUACAGUGUGGGAACCCUCAAUCUGUAUUUGACACACCACUUGUUACUACUUCCCAGUGCAAUCAUCCAGUCCACAGCCUGUCCUCACUUUAAGCAGGCAGCACAUGCUUCUCACAGACCUUUACAAGGUGACAUACUUUCCUGGGAAGGACAGUGACCAAAAGGAGCUUGGAUUCAGCUGGAGUCAAUUGCCCACAAGGUAGCUUUACACACUUGAGAUACACUGAGAAAGGUGGUCAGAAGCAGGUUUCCUACAGGGGCCAAACAGCUUACUCUUCGCAUCUCUCUUUACCAAGUACAAGGGAACAAAACACACCAACACAAAUGCAUUGUACACCAAACUUAAUGCCAGGCAUAUGCAUAUUAAAGUCCUCUGGACACAUGAGAAGGCUGCUCCACAUGCUCAUGCAGUGGAGGAAGCUUCAGCUCUCAGCUUUCUACUUCCAGCAGCACCUCACUGACUCAGAACACACUAGUGCAGGACAUCUCACUGGUGCUGGGUACAUUACAGAGCUGAUCUACUCACGUUCACAAGCACGGUUUCCAGAUGAUUACUGUUUAUUUGGGGUGGUUCAGUUGUCUGGAAAAGGACCCUCUAAAUCUGAGAUACAGAAAGCCUUCUCCCAGGAAAAGCAGUAUUGCUAAAGAAACAAAGUUUAAGUGAUCCCUACCCUUAAUCAUCCAUGUUCCACUCCACACUACCUGCUUCAAAGCUUAGGCUGCAUCAGCUAGAGCAGCAUGGACCGUUCAGAUGAAAGCUGUUAUUUCUCUCACCUGCUCUGAAAUACAUACAGUAAACACUAAGCUUCUGCUACCUAAGUAUCUAUAGCUCUAUGCUGAUACAGUAAUAUCAAUUCCUGUGUUUGCAUGUAAAGCAGAAGACUUUACACAGCUAUAUUACUGUAAGCACUUUACUACUUUGAAACUCUUGAAACUCUGCUUCAUAAAUAAAUAAAUGUGUAGGAUUAUAUACAAGGGAUAUGUUGUAACUACUGUUAUAUAUUAUUUAGGAGGAUCUCUGCUGAUGUUUAACAUGGAUAACUCAAAGCAUACCAAAACCACAGAUAUACUUAUGAGACUCACUCUAGUCUAAACAGCAAACAAAAAAAUCUCAUCCCCACCAAACACACACACACAACACACCACAAACAACAACACAAACCCAGCACUUCUAAGCAAAUUAUUAUCCUGUCAUAUUACAGGCUCAAAAAUCUCAGGAGAUGCAGCAUCACCUCACGAAAGCAGCUAGAAAAAUGAUGCUUGUGCUCCCCCUCUUGGCUCUGUCCUCAAAACACAGCUCAGCAUCAAUUUCUACAUCAGUGGAAGUUUUUCAAUCACCUUAAAGAAAAAAUAAGGUUUCACCCAUUUCAAACAUGAAACUUGAACUUAAUAAAAUGAGACACUACUUAAUCAUAAUCCAGGUGAGAAAACACUUGAGACACAAAAAGCAAAAGCUGGGGGUUGUUUUGACCUACACAAAAGCAAAGUUUCUGAAACACCCACACUAAGCUAAGCAUUGUUAAAGGUAUAUAGAAGAUAAAAGACAAACACCUACAUGAAGAAUUAAAUAAGCUUAUGUUAAAUAUAGAUUUACAUCCAAAGAAAGCAGCAGCAGGCACAGGGCUUUGCAGACAGCCAGCACUGCUGACAGCUGCAGCCAGCUACAUCUCACAGGUGUUUGUGAAGGUCUGAGGGAGUGGAUGGACAACACUCCUCUGCAGCACCCAGCUGUCACUUCUUGAACCCUCAUAUGCUCCUCCACCCCAUCAACAGCUGGCAGCCCAGAUGGCAGUGCCCUUGACAGGUCUUAGUAUUGAGCUAGUUCCUGCCACUGGCUCUGAGAGGAACCCUCCCUACUUGGGUAUUUUCUUGACAUCUAAGCCUUCAAAAAGCUUAGAGCAAGAUGAGGGUUUCUGUAGUACCAGGGGUAACAUAAUGGGUGACUUACAGAGGACAGUGCCAGGUUUUUAGAGAAAGCCUUAGGGAUUACUUUUAAUUUGGUCACAUUAAUCAGCUUUAAGUUUAAAAAAACUAAAAUAAACAAUCCACAUCACCGUUAAGUACAAAAUUGGAUCUUGAGAACAUCUAAAACUGUCAAUCUUUCCUUAAAUAUGCAAUGGAAGAAGCAAUAAAACUUUGUAAAUUACACAUGACCCUCCAUAAAUUACUUGCUGUAACUUCAGGCUGAAGAAAAGAGGAAAUAGGCACAUAGAUCUAGAUGAUCUCUGCUCUGAUACUGCCCUAGCCUAACCCUAAGAUGCCUCUCAGGGAAAUUUAAAUGUUGCUAACUGCUUGGAUUUUUUUUUUUUUUUUUUUGGCAAACCAAAUUUACCUACACAGGUAAACCUAAACAUUUACAUUAUCAUUAGUGCCUUCCUUCACAAGUAAUCCUUCCACAUUAGGCAAAGAGCUGGAAACAAAGAAGAUUGUCAACUGUCACAUUAGAAAAGGGUUGAAACCCUCCCUUUUCUGUAUGAAAAUGCUUCAAGUAUGAUCCACAAAACCUAUUUAACUUUAAAUAAACUAUAUUCCUUUCACUACUA